rnacentral:rRNA from 1 species
AGAGUUUGAUCAUGGCUCAGGAUGAACGCUAGCGGCAGGCUUAACACAUGCAAGUCGAGGGGCAGCAUAAUGGAUAGCAAUAUCUAUGGUGGCGACCGGCGCACGGGUGCGUAACGCGUAUGCAACCUACCUUUAACAGGGGGAUAACACUGAGAAAUUGGUACUAAUACCCCAUAAUAUCAUAGAAGGCAUCUUUUAUGGUUGAAAAUUCCGAUGGUUAGAGAUGGGCAUGCGUUGUAUUAGCUAGUUGGUGGGGUAACGGCUCACCAAGGCGACGAUACAUAGGGGGACUGAGAGGUUAACCCCCCACACUGGUACUGAGACACGGACCAGACUCCUACGGGAGGCAGCAGUGAGGAAUAUUGGUCAAUGGACGCAAGUCUGAACCAGCCAUGCCGCGUGCAGGAUGACGGCUCUAUGAGUUGUAAACUGCUUUUGUACGAGGGUAAACGCAGAUACGUGUAUCUGUCUGAAAGUAUCGUACGAAUAAGGAUCGGCUAACUCCGUGCCAGCAGCCGCGGUAAUACGGAGGAUUCAAGCGUUAUCCGGAUUUAUUGGGUUUAAAGGGUGCGUAGGCGGUUUGAUAAGUUAGAGGUGAAAUUUCGGGGCUCAACCCUGAACGUGCCUCUAAUACUGUUGAGCUAGAGAGUAGUUGCAGUAGGCGGAAUGUAUGGUGUAGCGGUGAAAUGCUUAGAGAUCAUACAGAACACCGAUUGCGAAGGCAGCUUACCAAACUAUAUCUGACGUUGAGGCACGAAAGCGUGGGGAGCAAACAGGAUUAGAUACCCUGGUAGU